rnacentral:rRNA from 1 species
GAGUUUGAUCAUGGCUCAGGACGAACGCUGGCGGCGCGCUUAACACAUGCAAGUCGAGCGAGAACCUGGCCUUCGGGCCUGGGGAAAGCGGCGAACGGGUGAGUAACACGUGGGUAACCCACCCUUGGUACCGGGAUAGCCCGGGGAAACCCGGAUUAAUACCGGAUGGCCCAACAGCUCUUCGGGGCGGUUGGAAAAGGUAGCUUCGGCCUCCGACCAAGGACGGGCCCGCGGCGGAUUAGCUUGUUGGUGAGGUAACGGCCCACCAAGGCGACGAUCCGUAGCUGGUCUGAGAGGACGAUCAGCCACACUGGGACUGAGACACGGCCCAGACUCCUACGGGAGGCAGCAGUGGGGAAUCUUGCGCAAUGGGCGAAAGCCUGACGCAGCGACGCCGCGUGGGGGGAAGAAGGCUUUCGGGUUGUAAACCCCUUUCAGGAAGGACGAAGCUACUCGGGUUAAUAGCCCAGAGGGUGACGGUACUUCCAGAAGAAGCCCCGGCUAACUACGUGCCAGCAGCCGCCGUAAC